CGAUCUCAGUUCGGAUUGCAGGCUGCAACUCGCCUGCAUGAAGUCGGAAUUGCUAGUAAUCGUAGGUCAGCAUACUACGGUGAAUACGUUCCCGGGCCUUGUACACACCGCCCGUCAAACCAUGAGAGUUGGCAACACCCGAAGUCGGUAGUCUAACCGCAAGGAGGACGCCGCCGAAGGUGGGGUUGAUGAUUAGGGUUAAGUCGUAACAAGGUAGC
rnacentral:rRNA from 1 species